rnacentral:rRNA from 1 species
GAUGAACGCUGGCGGCGUGCCUAAUACAUGCAAGUCGAGCGAACGGACGAGAAGCUUGCUUCUCUGAUGUUAGCGGCGGACGGGUGAGCAACACGUGGAUAACCUACCUAUAAGACUGGGAUAACUUCGGGAAACCGGAGCUAAUACCGGAUAAUAUUUUGAACCGCAUGGUUCAAAAGUGAAAGACGGUCUUGCUGUCACUUAUAGAUGGAUCCGCGCUGCAUUAGCUAGUUGGUAAGGUAACGGCUUACCAAGGCAACGAUGCAUAGCCGACCUGAGAGGGUGAUCGGCCACACUGGAACUGAGACACGGUCCAGACUUCUACGGGAGGCAGCAGUAGGGAAUCUUCCGCAAUGGGCGAAAGCCUGACGGAGCAACGCCGCGUGAGUGAUGAAGGUCUUCGGAUCGUAAAACUCUGUUAUUAGGGAAGAACAUAUGUGUAAGUAACUGUGCACAUCUUGACGGUACCUAAUCAGAAAGCCACGGCUAACUACGUG